GAAAAAGGUGAAUCUUCAUUUGCUCUUUCUUUCCACUGCAGCCCCAGAAUGUUGACGCUGACUGUUGCUCUCCUAGCUCUUCUCUGUGCCUUAGCCUCUGCCAAUGCCAUUCAGGCCAGGUCUUCCUCCUAUAGAGGAGAGUAUGGAGGGGGUGGUGGAGAGCGAUUCUCUCAUUCUGGCAACCAGCUGGACCGCCUCAUCACCGCCUUUCGGGUCCGAGUCAGCAGAUACUACACUGUAGGUCUCCAGCUC